GGGCGGACCUGAUCAGCCAUGCCGCGUGUGUGAAGAAGGCCUUAUGGUUGUAAAGCACUUUAAGCGAGGAGGAGGCUCUUUUGGUUAAUACCCAAAAUGAGUGGACGUUACUCGCAAAAUAAGCACCGGCUAAAUCUGUGCCAGCAGCCGCGGUAAUACA
rnacentral:rRNA from 1 species